ACUGAACGCUGGCGGCAGGCCUAACACAUGCAAGUCGAACGGUAACAGGAAGAAGCUUGCUUCUUUGCUGACGAGUGGCGGACGGGUGAGUAAUGUCUGGGAAACUGCCUGAUGGAGGGGGAUAACUACUGGAAACGGUAGCUAAUACCGCAUAACGUCGCAAGACCAAAGAGGGGGACCUUCGGGCCUCUUGCCAUCGGAUGUGCCCAGAUGGGAUUAGCUAGUAGGUGGGGUAACGGCUCACCUAGGCGACGAUCCCUAGCUGGUCUGAGAGGAUGACCGGCCACACUGGAACUGAGACACGGUCCAGACUCCUACGGGAGGCAGCAGUGGGGAAUAUUGCACAAUGGGCGCAAGCCUGAUGCAGCCAUGCCGCGUGUAUGAAGAAGGCCUUCGGGUUGUAAAGUACUUUCAGCGGGGAGGAAGGGAGUAAAGUUAAUACCUUUGCUCAUUGACGUUACCCGCAGAAGAAGCACCGGCUAACUCCGUG
rnacentral:rRNA from 1 species